UGUAACCCUGGCCGGCAUGGUCUAAAGGCAUGCAAGUCGAACGAGAAACAGGCUUCGGCCUGUGGACAGUGGCGAAAGGGUGAGUAACGCGUUCCUUACGUACCCCGAGGUGGAGGAUAGGUCGGAGAAAUUCNGCGUAAUACUCCAUAUCUUCUCCGGAAGAAAGGCUUCUGCCGCCUCGGGAGCGGGGAGCGUCCCAUCAGGUUGUUGGUGAGGUAAAGGCUCACCAAGCCAAAGACGGGUAGCGGGUGUGAGAGCAUGGCCCGCCACAUCGGGACUGAGACACUGCCCGGACUCCUACGGGAGGCUGCAGCGACGAAUAUUCCGCAAUGCNCGAAAGCGUGACGGAGCCAUGCCGCGUGCAGGAUGAAGCGGCUUCGCCGUGUAAACUGCUGUCAGGGUGUAGGAAUACUGACCAUACCCAAAGGAAGGACCGGCUAACCUCGUGCCAGCAGCCGCGGUAAUACGAGGGGUCCAAGCGUUAAUCGGAAUCACUGGGCUUAAAGGGUACGUAGGCGGCCCUGUAAGCAUCUCGUGAAAUCCCACGGCUCAACCGUGGAAUUGCGGGGUGAACUACAGGGCUUGAGGCAGGUAGAGGUCAUCGGAACGAUCGGUGGAGCGGUGAAGUGCGUUGAUAUCGAUCGGAACGCCAAAGGAGAAGUCAGGUGACUGGGCCUGUCCUGACCCUGAGGUACGAAAGCGUGGGUAGC
rnacentral:rRNA from 1 species